GACGAACGCUGGCGGCGUGCUUAACACAUGCAAGUCGAACGGAAAGGCCCUGCUUUUGUGGGGUGCUCGAGUGGCGAACGGGUGAGUAACACGUGAGUAACCUGCCCUUGACUUUGGGAUAACUUCAGGAAACUGGGGCUAAUACCGGAUAGGAGCUCCUGCUGCAUGGUGGGGGUUGGAAAGUUUCGGCGGUUGGGGAUGGACUCGCGGCUUAUCAGCUUGUUGGUGGGGUAGUGGCUUACCAAGGCUUUGACGGGUAGCCGGCCUGAGAGGGUGACCGGCCAAAUUGGGACUGAGAUACGGCCCAGACUCCUUCGGGAGGCAGCAGUGGGGAAUAUUGCACAAUGGGCGGAAGCCUGAUGCAGCAACGCCGCGUGCGGGAUGACGGCCUUCGGGUUGUAAACCGCUUUCGCCUGUGACGAAGCGUGAGUGACGGUAAUGGGUAAAGAAGCACCGGCUAACUACGUG
rnacentral:rRNA from 1 species